GAUUGAACGCUGGCGGCAUGCUUUCCCCAUGCAAGUCGAACGGUAACAGGCCUUCGGGUGCUGACGAGUGGCGAACGGGUGAGUAAUGCAUCGGAACGUGCCCAGAGGUGGGGGAUAACGCAGCGAAAGCUGUGCUAAUACCGCAUGUGAUCUGAGGAUGAAAGCGGGGGACCAGGCAGCAAUGUUUGGCCUCGCGCCUUUGGAGCGGCCGAUGUCAGAUUAGGUAGUUGGUGGGGUAAAGGCCUACCAAGCCGACGAUCUGUAGCUGGUCUGAGAGGACGACCAGCCACACUGGGACUGAGACACGGCCCAGACUCCUACGGGAGGCAGCAGUGGGGAAUUUUGGACAAUGGGCGCAAGCCUGAUCCAGCAAUGCCGCGUGCGGGAAGAAGGCCUUCGGGUUGUAAACCGCUUUUGUACGGAACGAAAAGGCUCUGGCUAAUACCUGGGGCUGAUGACGGUACCGUAAGAAUAAGCACCGGCUAACUACGUG
rnacentral:rRNA from 1 species